rnacentral:rRNA from 1 species
GGCCUGGCUGGGUGGUCUUGCCGAAAGGUAAGCACUGCUCUGGUCGGGUCUUUCCUUCUGGGGAACCAGCGUGCUCUUAAUUGAGUGCGUUGGGGAUCCAGGACUUUUACUUUGAAAAAAUUAGAGUGUUCAAAGCAGGCAUUUUCGCUUGAAUACAUUAGCAUGGAAUAAUGGAAUAGG